UUCCUCUUUUAUCAAUAUUCAAGAAUCGAGCCUCAGUUCAAACAAUACCUUUUGGAGGGCAAGGGGGUUUGAAGAGAGCUUAUCAAGGAAAUCUUUCACAGUCAUGAUCUUUUCAUUCUCGAGACGCUUACAAAUCGAGCCUCAGUUCAGUCACUGAGAUCGCAGGGAAGACUGGAAGAGGACGCUCAAGUCUCCAUGUGGUGGCUAGGGUUUCAAUUGCGGUUUCAGGAAGCAUCAGUGGAACUCAAUGGUGAUGAAGAUGGCUUCAAGAAGCUCCGGCGAAAAACCUAGGGUUUCGGCUAUAUUCCGGUGAAGUUCCGGUAUAAGGACUAAUGCUUGCAUAUUCCAUUUUCAAGUAGAUCGGUGACCGAUUCGUCUGCGUGUGUGUGCUUCUGGUGGAUUAGAGGUAACCGUACACAUUAGGGUUCACUCUAUCUGAAACAAUACCUUAGGGUGACUGAACUACCAGAUGGUUCUUUGACGAUUUGGUACUCUCUCACGUCAGCCCAGCCGUUAAUCCGGCGACUCUAGCGACGGUGGUGACUGAUGGUGGUCUAUCCGAAGAUGACUUAGGGCUCCGCCGUGAGCGCUAUUGGUGAAGCCGGUUUGGUCAAUCGAACGCGACGCGUUGGCGGUGAUACAAUCGUUAACGACGGCGAUGGUGAUGAGAAGUUUGAGGCGAACAAGCGAACUCGCAGAAAUACAAAAGGUUUACUACUUUAUCAUGAUAUUAAUGUGUUAUCCACCAGGUACUCUAUACUCCGCCUUGAUAAUCUGAUAAUGAUACCAGGUACCUAUUACUAAUCGUUUGUGGGUCAAACUAACACGCUCCACAAACCUAACCACUCAUGUUGUCCCAUGUGAUACUUUUCUUUUUUCAGGCUCCGGCUGCUAGGCGUGGAGCAUCUGCCUCCUGGUAGAGGGAGGUUAAGUGAUUUCUGAAUUAGAUGAAAACCUAUGCAACCGUUUUUUCAUGGAGAACAACUUCUAUUGUUUUUGUUUAUGUCUUGAAACUAGAUUUGGAUUGAUUGAUGCAACCCUAUGGAAGGAAAUAGCCUCUUCGUUCGAUAAAGAAGCUAUGACAUACUAUAUGAAAGUUACGGAGUACGAUGUUUGGAGAACACAGUAAAAAGGAUAAGCGUGUAGUUCAACCAAGCACUUUUAAACUAACAAAUAUCUCCAUUGCGGGGAGAGUUCAGCUGGCAUCUACAACAGCAACACACGUCUAUCUAAACCCAACUACCGGCCCUAUGAAGUCAAUCGCCACUAGAGACCAGGAUAGCAACAGAUUGCCAUCUACCGUAGAAUUUAGUCGCGCCAAAGAAAAGUCGAAAGAAUCCAUAGGAAAUUAACCAAUCGUCGCAUAUUAACUACAACAAAAAACCGAACAAACCGCUGCAAGUAUAUCCUCCACCUACCAAAUCUGAAUUCAGAUUUUUAUACAUGUCAUCAGGUUUACAUACAUUCUACUCAAUCCAUUACGAAGCAUACAAGGUCAAGGUAGUGUAUUGUUAUACAAUACUGGUACAAGUCUCCCACCUGCUUAUACUUUAUUUCAAAACCAUGUACUCUAUUUAUUAUUGCUUUGGAGGCGAGGCCACAACUUAUCCUAAAUGCAGAAAAAAAGAUCUUGGAGCAGUGUUGUUGAUCUGCAUGAUAGAGUAUCGCACAUUUAUGGGGGCCUGUUAUACAUGAUGGGUGCUAAAGAGAAUUUAUGUAUGAUAGUUUUGAAUGAUUAGUUUUGAAUGAUUAACAUAAGCAGAUGUAAACUGUCUUUUAUUUGCAGUAUGACAAGAAAGACAAUGGUUUUACAUUACCUUGGUGGUUAUGGUAGCCCCAUUAUCCAGUCCACAGCCAAAAUUUGUAUACUACUUUUUUUUUUUUUUGAAAAUUAUUUGUAUACCACUACACCAUAGUAAAUUUUGUUAUUUA